rnacentral:lncRNA from 1 species
AUGAUACUUGCGGUUUUGUUUUUAGUCAUAUCUCGCUAAACGAGCAGUGGUUUACGAAAUUUAGACAGCCAGAAUGUAAAACUCGUGCAGAACUUUUACAAUGUUCAGAUGCUUGAAUCUUCUGCUGCUGCUUUGUCUCGUCUAUCACAGCGAAAUCACCUCUAUAUCUGUGUCAGGAAAAAAGGGAGGAAACGUCACACUAACAUGUGAAUCUGAGGCCAAUAAUAUUGUUCAGAUUGAGUUAUUCAGUGAGUCAGGAGACAUAGAUGUCUGUCAUGAUGAAGAAUGUAGUGGACGAGUAUUUAAAGAAGGAAACUGUGACGUCGUCAUCAAGAAUCUGAGCUUCAGUGAGGCUGGGAAAUAUAUUUUGCAUGUCUAUUACAAUAAUGAUCAGACAGAGCUGAAGCGACAAAUCAGGACGUACCAACUUCAUAUUCAUGGUAA